GUCUAAUCGAUUCCUGAUGGAGUAUGUGCUCGCUAUGGACCCUGCACAACUGGAAUCCAUGGGCAGCAAGUUGGCAUCUCCCAGUUGUUUGCCAGGCGAACCAUCUCAGCGCCUGCCUGUGGUCUCUUGGUGUUUCUCCGUCUGUGAAAAGUCUGUUCAGAGACUUUCCUUUCACUUGUCCCCUCCUGGCGCCUCCCUUUUUGUUUGUUUUUACUGAUUUGUAGACCUUCUUCAUAUACGUUCUGAUUUGUUGACUUGGCUGCUUAUGUGAACGGUGGGUAUCCGUGGUUUGUCUUUCUGCUCUUUGAUGACCGGAGAUUUUAAAUUCGAGUGUCACACAUGUUCCCAUGACCCAGAUGUCCCUGGGCUACAAUCCCCGCACAGCCCCCCUCCCCACCCACACCUCUCCGCCUCUUGGGCUCCUGUCUCCUGGCUCACGCUGCCCCAGGCAUUGUGUUUUGUUUUGUUUUUCCCCCAGUUUCUGGAAUGUUCCAGCUUAGGUUCAUGUUUGGUCUGUGUACACGCGCCCCUCUCUCUGCCCUCGGGUCAUCUCCUCCCGGGAACAUGCCUGCCCUCACACCGCCCUAAUCGGCUCAUCACCUCCAUUGCUAACCCCUCACCCCCAUCCCAGGGACUCCAGAUUCACUGUGUCACAGUGUUACAGUUCUCGACGUUCAUCAGUCUUCGUGUUUGCUUGUUUACUGUGGUGCGUCUCCUCUGCCAGUCCCACGACAAGGGAGUCUUUUGUCCUAUUCACUGCCACUUCCCCAGUGCCCAGAAUGGCGCCCAGCACGUGGUCAGGAUUUGCCUCCGCCAGAGCUGGGACCCUCGCAGUCACGCAGGGCAGGUGGACCAGAGCCUUCGAGAGCCUCUCUCUCGGUGGGAAUCUCACCCCUGCCAGGGCUGGGUUUGGCAAGCCUGCUGCAGGAGUCCCAGGCUUUCUCCCGCCGCCCUGGUCUGUCACGCGUCUGCCCACGAUGCUUGCCACACUUUUGCCACGUCGGGGAGAACCUCCUGGGUCAUCACGGAGCACUGAGCUGAGCUCCCUGGGCCAUACAGCAGAUUUCCACUAGCUGUCCAUUUUACACGUUUUGCAUUUUGCUUGGGGUCGAAAGACAGUCGUUUACACUGGAGACCAAGAGGAGACCUGCUUUUCUGGUGCUUCUGUGACAUGUCUGUGGUUGGCCUCUGCUUGGGAAAAUGGACUCUCAACGUGCUCACAGAAACCUUUGCACCAAUGCACAGAGGUAGAAUCAUUUCAUUCUGGAGUGUGGAUUUCCUUGAUCUUGGUGGAGUUAAAGGAAGAAACAAAGAAACCCAUCAUGACUGUGGAAGAAAAGGUCACAAAGAAAGGUCUUAUUUUAAGCCCUCAAAAAAAAAAAAAAAUCACAAACAUUUGGAUUUCCUUUUUAAAAAAACAAACAAACAGAAAGAGCUUUGUCCGUGUGUUGUUCAUUUAGGAGCUUAUUUAUUAUUUAUUUAUUGUAAUGAUGGAAGCCCCCAUCCGAGGAGGCGCAGAGCCCUAAUGAGAACGCAGUACCGGGAGCGCUCCCAGCGUUCUGCCCGCAGCCCCACGCGUCCCGAGGCGUCCUGGCACGCACAAGCCUCAUUACGGACACAUGCCCUGUCACGUGUUAUUCCUCACUUAGUGACAAUUUGUCACUGUCACCCUUGACAUGUCACUCCUCGGCAGACGGAUUUGACUCCGAUGCCAAGUCUGACACCCGGAUGAGAGGCAGUCGUAAUCUGAAUUGAAAUAACGGGUCGAGGGUGGCUAAUUUCACUCUGACAUAAUUCUAAUACCACGUAAAAAGAGAGAAGUGCUGUAUUUAAAGGGUUUUUUUUUUUUUUCUAAAGCUCGCCCCACCGCCCUCUCUCUUGCUCUGCGUCUGAGUAUUCAAUUAUUCUUUAGGAUCAUGCUUUUAUUUUUGAAGGAUUAAGUCUUGCGUUUUAAUAACAUGCAUUUUCAAUUAAGUGCACUAAGAUCUGCGGAUAUAACUAUUACUUAAACUAUAAGUAAUGGUUGCAUGUAAAAAUUAGGAAACAUUGUUCUUUAGAUAAAUGACAUUCAAAUUAGUUCUUAUUAUAAAUGGGAUAGAAAAUGGAUUUUUUCAGCUCUGGCUGGCCAAAGAGCCAACAUUUGUAUCUACUUCAUUUGUUUAAAUAUAUUUCAAGCCAGAUUGAAAUCCAUACGGCCUGACAUUAAUUGAAUGCUGCCGCGUCAAUGUACUCAAGUUCCCUAAAUCACUGAGGAGUGAGUUUUCACUGGCUUGAAUUAGAAAUAUUCCAUCCCUCUUACACUAAAAUAGUAUUGUUUAUG